AACGAACGCUGGCGGCAGGCUUAACACAUGCAAGUCGAGCGCCCCGCAAGGGGAGCGGCAGACGGGUGAGUAACGCGUGGGAAUCUACCGUGCCCUACGGAAUAGCUCCGGGAAACUGGAAUUAAUACCGUAUACGCCCUACGGGGGAAAGAUUUAUCGGGGUAUGAUGAGCCCGCGUUGGAUUAGCUAGUUGGUGGGGUAAAGGCCUACCAAGGCGACGAUCCAUAGCUGGUCUGAGAGGAUGAUCAGCCACAUUGGGACUGAGACACGGCCCAAACUCCUACGGGAGGCAGCAGUGGGGAAUAUUGGACAAUGGGCGCAAGCCUGAUCCAGCCAUGCCGCGUGAGUGGUGAAGGUCUUAGGAUUGUAAAGCUCUUUCACCGGUGAAGAUAAUGACGGUAACCGGAGAAGAAGCCCCGGCUAACUUCGUGCCAGCCGCCGCAGUAAAAC
rnacentral:rRNA from 1 species